UCUAACCUUGCUGACUUCCUGCCGUGCUCAAGUCCAAGAGAAAAGAGGGGACACAUCCCUCAGGGAGGUGCUUGUAGGGCUGCACAGAGCCGCAUCCCGAGGAGCACACGGAGCUGUGAUGGAGUCCCAGCUGUGCCAUGCGGUUGGUGUGGCUGCUUGUUAGCAGUGUCUUCCUGCUGCUGCUCCUUCUCUGCUUGCCUUGGCUUGGCCCCAUUGCCAAAGUGGGAUCUGCCCUCCAGGCCCUGAUGUUGGGGUGGCUGUGGCACAGCAAAGCCCAAAGCACAGCAUUAGUUGUGUUCAGGUCACAGCUGUAGGAACAGAGGGCUCACACGUCUUAUCAAAAAGCUGAAGGACUGCAGUGGAGCUGCUCCCUCCUAUUUUCCCACUGGUAAACGCUUGUAGAGGUGUUUUGCAACCUUGCCGUGAUGGCAAUAAGCCUUUAUCUGAACAAAUUGAUCCUGAGACGCUGGAGUUUGUACCUUGUUUGCUGCUGCCUUGCCUGCUGUUUCUAUCCUGGCUCCGAGCAGGACAAUAACUGGUCUCAAAGGAGGAAGAAAAUAUUGCCUGGAGAUCUGACUGCUGACCCUGAGGAAAAUCUCCUGACUUUUUUCCACAGUAACUGUUCCAAAGUGUGGCCAUUUUCAGAGAUUACCAGUUUCCUGAAAACCCUUUUUUCUCCCACUGUGUUUAAUAUAAAAUACUUUUCUACAGCCUACAAAAAAAGGCUAAUCCAAAAAGUGAAAGCCAAGUCCUUUGCUCUUCCCUGUGCUGAGCCUCAAUGGAGAGAAACACACUCCCCCAGCAGCAAGCACGUCGUACUGCUGUCUGCAGCCUGGCUCAUGCAGGACAGGCAGGCAGCGAGCGAUCUGCUGCCAAAUGACCUCUGUCAGCACUCAGAAAGAAAAAGACAACAGCCACCUGUGUUACCAGGAAAGGCCAAGCUCAUCUAAUGGGAAGCCAAGGGAAGAGAAGAAGCAGAAAAACGUCCUUGCAUCACCAUCUAGUGGUCUCUGUGUUCAGCGGAAUAAAUCCAGCACCCCUAGGUCCUUUCUUGUGGAUGAUUCCUCUGUUAACCAUAUUGCAAUCUGCCAAAAGGUGGGUGAGAACAGUGCUAUGACUGCAUCAGGAAUGCUGGGCUGUCAAAGCACCUGGAUGUGAUGUAUUUCUGCAGUACAGCUGUAAAUGAUUCAGUUUUCUACUGAACGUUCCUUGGGAAUUUUCCAGGCUCUCUGCUUCAGCCACAAACCUUGCUGAAAGAGCAUAUCUGUGUUCUCCACAGCCUUACUGUUGGUUCUGCUGUCUGUCUACCAGGGACAGACCCUAGCAAUCCUCUGCUCUUCUGUACACCACUGCUUGCCCUGCUCUAGGGUGAGGUGUUCUGAAUCCUGCUGAUGAAGUGCCAUGAGCAGCUCCCAGCCCUUCCCAGUCUGCAGCUGCUUUGUGCUGGAAGCAGCACAAGAACAUAGGAAUUGAAAUUCUGAGCAUAUUUUUUCCUCUUGAAGUCCUGUGAGCUACUGAGAGUAAAAGGGAGUGCUUUACCAUAACUGUUUUUGCUCUCAGAGAUAUAUAUUUUUAAUGCUUAGUGGUCUGCAGAGCAAAAGCUGGUCAGGCCUUGAAUCAAACAGCCCUUCUCAAGGUGGCCAUGUCAGACUCCCCUCUGCCCUCUCCUUCACUCUAUGAUUACAGCUACAUGAGAUACGACCUCUAGUCAAACAGUCUGACAAAAGGUGUUUUUAGCGUUCUAAAAGAGCUGUGCCAACAGCCAGCCUUUAAUGGAAAGGCAAGAAGAGUGUGUUAAAAAAAAAUGGAUUUCCAUGCUUCAGUUCUGGGGGAAAUGGGUCAUGAGUUUCCAAACUACAAGGCUUGAGGGUAUUUGGUGGUGCAGGUCCAGGGCUUGUUUCUGCAGUCCGAUGGAGCUGGAGGGGGCAUAGCACUGUGUGGGUGAUGCUGAGCCUUAUGGAGCCCUGGAGGACUAGGAGCUGUGUGGGGAAACACAGCUGCUUUGUCUUCCUAGAGGAACAGCCUUAGCUUUAGACAUCACCCUCAGGUCCAAAAACCUGCCUUCCUAUUUGCACGAAACACACAGCUCAGCGCAGCUUAAAGCAGCACCUUGCCAGCGCACCCCAAAGCACAACAUGCAUGGCUGCCCCGAGGGCUGGCAUUGCAGCAGGGCCGUGCACAAGGCCCUCUUGUCUCCUGUGCUGCCGAACAAAGGCCACUGCUGUGCACUAAUGCCAACUCGGCGCUGGGCCGGGUGACGGGGCGGGCAGGGAUUAGCUUCCAGUGAGCGCACAGCGGGCUCUCAGCACCUCACAGCUCCCAGACGCUGGAGGUUCCUCCUCAGCUCCUGUUGCUUCAGAAAGGUUUGGCUAUGGGGUGCUCAGGGCUGCAUGGUGUGGGCAGUGCUUACUGUGGGGAUGGGACAGAGAAGUGCAGUGGCAGGGCAACAGCGGGAUGGCUUUGGUGGGGAAUGUAGUGGGCCUGGCUGUAUGGCUCCCGAUGAAGCAGAGACAUGGGGUCCUGCUCCUCCCCUGUGCCCACUCUCCUCUCUGGGGACAGCUGGGACUUCAGAUGUUGGCAGGAGGCAGUGCAGAGCUGGGAAGUGGAGAAGGAGUUCAAAGCAAAUUAAAAAGCAAAUAAAAUAGCCCCUGGAUCUGCCCGGUGGUGGCUGACAUCCCUCAGCCACUUCCACUGGAGCUGUAAAGGCUUUACACUCUCAUUCUGUCCUUUUAUUUCCCCUUGAAAACACCACAGCUCCCUGCCCAGGCAUUUCCCGUGUCUCUGUCUGUACGAGGAGGACGGCGUGGCAGACGUCACCGCUUGCCAGGGCUCGGGUUUCACCUCAUCGCUCAAG
rnacentral:lncRNA from 1 species